rnacentral:misc_RNA from 1 species
GGGAAUUGGAGAAACCAAGGUUUUUGAAAAAGUGAACCACAGAUUGAGCAUUUUUAACUGAUUUGGAACUAGAGAAUCGGGUGGAGACACUGAGCUCUUGGGUUUCAGAGAAAUUGAGGGUUUUAUUAGGCAUUGGAAAAGGGCAGAGUUUGUAGGUUUUGAGGUUCUGGCAAAUGAAGAAAAAGAAGGAAAGACAAGCUGUUUGGGGUUGAAAAGUCGAUCGUAUAAAUAGAAAUGUUUAAGAGCAGAUAGUGAUUUCACAAUUUGCAUUUGAAUCGAAAUUACAGUGAAUGGGAUUUAGGGUUUAAGGACAUAAAAAUCAAUGGAAAUUAAUUUGAAAUCCCCUUACAAAUGUCCAAAAAUCAGCACAUAAUUGAGAAAGAAAAACAAGAACUUCUGAUCAAAAGACUGAAAUUUGAAUUUCAAAUUACUAUAAUCAGAAAAAGAUACCAAGAAUCCAUCGUCUUUUCUUUCAUAUCAGUAGCAAUGGCUUUCAGCGGUUGAAUUGAAAGAACCCGUCGCCUUGUGCGCGAAAAAUAAU